rnacentral:lncRNA from 1 species
CUUUAAAAUUAUUUUUAUUGUGAAAGUAAUUCAUACACACCAUACAACAAACGGAAAAAUGAAGAAAAAAUGUACGUGUGUACACUUAGAAUUACUCCCUAGAACGGGCAGAUACAGGGGAUUUUCAGGGCAGUGAAAAUAUUCUGUAUGAUACUCUGACGGUGGGUUCAUGUCAUCACACAUUUGUCAAAAGCCAUGGACUGCACAGCCCCAAGAGUGAGCCCGGAUGUCAGCUGUGGACUCUAGGUGAUAACGACCUGUCGGUGUAGCUUCACCCAUUGUAACGAACGUACCCUCUGGUGGGGAUGCUGGUGGCGGGGGAGGUUGUGGGCAGGUGCAGGGAGGGGCAUACGGGAAACUUCCGUACCUUCUGCUCAAUAUUGCUAUCAGUGUAAAACUGCUCUAAAAAAUAAACUCUAUUUAAAAAAAUAAAACGACCUAACUCUUGUUGCCAUUCUGGUGAAUGUCUUUUUAGGGUGUUUUUUUUUUUUUUUUUUUUUUUUUUUUUUUGGCCAUGCUCAAGUCAUGUGGAAAUUCCCCAGCCAGGGAUGGAACCCAUGCCACAGCAGCAACUUGAGCCACAGCAGUGACAAAGUUGGAUCUUUAACUCACUGAUCCACCAGGGAACUCCAUAGGUUUUUUCCUUUUCUUUCUUUUGUUUUGGUCUUUUUAAGGCCUCACCUGCAGCAUAUGAAGAUUCCCAGGCUAGGGCAGCCCUAGAAAAGGCAAAAAGACAAAACAAAACAAAACAAAACAACAACAAAGCAAUACAAGAGUUCCCACUGUGGCACAGCAGGAUCAGCAGCAUCUCUGUAGUGAUGGGACAUAGGCUUGAUCCCCAGCCCAGCACAGGAGGUUAAGGACUGGGCAUUGCCACAGCUGUGGUGUAGGUCACAAUUGCAGCUUGGAUCGCAUCCCUCAUCCGUAUCCCGUGGGGCACACAUACAUACAAACACACACACAUAUACACACAGAAGAAAACUAGAACCCCACCUUCCCAUAGUACUGUGGGCGUUCUCCAUCUACCACGGUCUGUUUUUAUAUCUGGGUCUGUCACCUUGCCCCAGAGAGGUGCCAUCAUUAACCCUCCCGCAGUGUUGGUUGCACAGCCAUGUCAGGAAGUUACAACAUUGCUGGUAAGCGGGAUGGGUCUCUCGAGCCCAUAAUUGCCCGAGAGCAGAUGGCUAGUUACGGGCUGUUCCAGUCAAGGCAUUUAAGUUGCAAAGAAUGGAACCCGUGAAGCCUGGCCUCUGUGAUCAAGGGAGUUACUGGUGGGACAUGGGGAUUGAGGUGCAAAGGGCAGGGCUCCACAUCAGGCCCCACCCGAGCAUGCUGUCCCCACGGCUUGGUUCCCAGGGAAGGGGGAGACAUGUCCUGACGUGCCGUCCUCUGAUGUCACAGCCUCAAGCCCAGAUGCAAUCGCCUCCAAGGGCCCUGGACUGCCUCCCUGUCCUGCGUCCUCGCAUGACAGAUGACUGAGCACUGCCCGGGAAAACGCUUCUUCGUGUGCACCAGGGGAACACGACAGGAGAAAAAGUCACAACCCCCAGCGUCCGCCAGAGUAGAAUGGACGGACUGUGGCACGUUCCUAAAAUGGAAUGAAUACGACGUCGUCUCAGGAAUACAAGGAUGAGAGCUCUUGGGAGUUCCCGUCGUGGCUCAGCAGAAGAGAGUCUGACUGGUGUCCACGAGGGCGCAGGUUUCGACCCUGGCCUCGCUCAGUGGGUUAAGGAUCUGGUGUGGCCAUGAGCUGUGGUGACGGUCGCAAAUGUGGCUCGGAAACGGUGUGG